rnacentral:rRNA from 1 species
UACAGAGGUCUCAAGCGUUGUUCGGAUUCAUUGGGCGUAAAGGGUGCGUAGGCGGCGCGGUAAGUCGGGUGUGAAAUUUCGAGGCUUAACUUCGAAACUGCAUUCGAUACUGCCGUGCUAGAGGACUGGAGAGGAGACUGGAAUUUACGGUGUAGCGGUGAAAUGCGUAGAUAUCAUGAGGAAUACCAGAGGCGAAGGCGGCUACCUGGACAAUUGCUGACGCUCAGGCACGAAAGCGUGGGGAGCAAAAGGG